GACGAACGCUGGCGGCGUGCUUAACACAUGCAAGUCGAACGGAAAGGCCCUGCUUUUGUGGGGUGCUCGAGUGGCGAACGGGUGAGUAACACGUGAGUAACCUGCCCUUGACUUUGGGAUAACUUCAGGAAACUGGGGCUAAUACCGGAUAGGAGCUCCUGCUGCAUGGUGGGGGUUGGAAAGUUUCGGCGGUUGGGGAUGGACUCGCGGCUUAUCAGCUUGUUGGUGGGGUAGUGGCUUACCAAGGCUUUGAUGGGUAGCCGGCCUGAGAGGGUGACCGGCCACAUUGGGACUGAGAUACGGCCCAGACUCCUACGGGAGGCAGCAGUGGAGAAUAUUGCACAAUGGGCGGAAGCCUGAUGCAGCGACGCCGCGUGCGGGAUGACGGCCUUCGGGUUGUAAACCGCAUUCGCCUGUGACGAAGCGUGAGUGACGGUAAUGGGUAAAGAAGCACCGGCUAACUACGUG
rnacentral:rRNA from 1 species